CCAGGAAGACAGUUUCUACACAGCAAAGUGAGGAAGACUUCAGAGAGGCCUGACUUACAAAGGAGACAGCUGUAAUGUGUCCGAUCUGCAUCCAAAGUGAUAAAGAGAUUAAAGUGGAGAGAUAAGGCCGGGAAUUGACGAUCUGUCUGCCCAAACCCUGAGAAGACAGUGACGGAAAAUACUGUGGCUCAACUGGAACACAUCGAGAGGCGUUUUCUGAUUGCUUUCAAGACUUGUGGCCCGGAAUCUCCACGACCAGCUAAAGAGAGGUUUCAGAGCUUCCGCUACCACUCUCAUCGUUUGCAACCUUGA
rnacentral:lncRNA from 1 species